GCAUCCCAUUUAGAGAAUUCGGGGAAGGUUCCCUGCAAGCUUCUGUGGGACCACUAGCGCCAGUGGGCACAUCGAGAGCAAACACAUCGGAGACACAUUUUUCUUUCUUUGUGAACUCUGCCUUAACUCAAAGGUUCCUGUCAUAAUUUAAAGAGAAACUUUCACAAUGUCUGGAGCCCUUGAUAUCCUGCAAAUGAAGGAGGAGGAUGUCCUUAAUUUCCUUGCAGUAGGAACCCACUUAGGUGGCACCAACUUUGACUUCCAAAUGGAACAGUACAUCUAUAAAAGGAAAAGAGAUGGCAUCUACAGCAUAAAUCUGAAGAGGACUUGGGAGAAGCUUCGGCUGGCAACUCAUGCCAUUGUUGUUAUUGAAAACCCUGCUGAUGUCAGUGUCAUAUCCCCCAGGAAUACUGGCCAGAAAGCCAUGCUGUAGUUUGCUGCUGCCACUGGAGCUACUCCAAUUGCUGACUGCUUCACUCCUUGAACCUUCCUAACCAGAUACAGGCAGACUACUGGGAGCCACAGCUUCUUGUGAUUUCUGACCCCAGGACUGACCACCAGUCUCUCAGAGGGGCAUCUUGUGUUAAAUCACCUGCCAUUGCUUUGUGCAACACAGAUUCUCCUCUACGCCAUGUGGACAUUGCCAUCACAUGCAACAACAAGGGAGCUCCCUCAGUGGGUCAGAUGUGGUGGAUGCUGGCCUGGGAAGUUCUCCCCAUGGGCGGCACCAUUUCCUGCAACACCCAUGGGAGGUCAUGUCUAAUCUCUACUUCUACAGAGAUCCUGAAGAGAUUGAAAAAGAAGAGCAGGCUGCUGCUGAAAAGGCUGUGACCAAGAAGGAAUUUCAGGGUAAAUGGACUGUUCCAGCUCCUGAGUUUACUGCUAUUCAGUCUGAAGUUGCAGACUGGUCUGAAGACAUGCAGGUACCCUCUGUGCCUAUUCAGCAGUUCUUACUGAAGACUGGAGCGCUCAGCCUGCCACGGAAGACUGGUCCACAGCUCCCACUGCUCAGGCCACUGAAUGGGUAGGAGCAACCACUGAAUGGUCUUAAGCUGUUCUUGCACGGACUCUUAAGCAACAUGAAAAUAAGGUUGACAGAAAAUAAACAUCAGUUUCUAAAAAAUAAAGAAUAAAAUUCUGUGAUGCAAAGAC